GCGAUUUUUUAUUAUCUUUCAAAUGCCUCAAACUCCAAGUGGCCAUUGUAGUCCCAUUCCAACCUGUAUCACUCCUUCACCUACAGACUGAACCUGUGCCAGAUGCCAGGAGGAAGACAAGUGGGCCAUGCUUGGAUCGGUGCCACCGGGGCUGGGCAGUGGUUCUUCUGGGAACAGUCAGACUUUGGAACAAGCCAGAGUUUUCUGGAGAGAUACAAGGGGACUUAAUACCCAGGGAUUGUGCCUCAUUAGUCGAUCUUACUGAGAAAGCCCCCCCUAAAGGCCAAGAGGCAGCGCUCCCUAAGCAACAAAGAUAAACUGGGGCAGAAAGACAGCAUUGGCUUAAGAGUUCACAGCUGCGUAAACAAUGCUUGCUCACUGCAGAAUGCAAACUUAGACUAUCCGUUGGGAAAAUAAACACCUUGGGGACUCUGUAACCCA
rnacentral:lncRNA from 1 species